rnacentral:tRNA from 2 species
AAAUAAGAAGCAAUUAUUUGCAUUCAGUUUCGACCUGACCGUUUGAUGAUCUCAUCCUUAUUUA